rnacentral:lncRNA from 1 species
GUCGGCAAAUUAUUGCCGACUUCAUUUUUCCUAACUCCGAGGGUUGAUAUUGUUGAUACUUUAAAAUUUAGGCCGUUUAAUUAAAGACACUUGAAAAUUGUCACCUUGUUUCAUGUUUUAAGUGCAAGAGAGAAGCAAAAGAAAAAAUUUAGUAAUGCAGAAGAUACAUCAAAUGUUGAUAGAAAAAACAAGCAUAAGGGUUGAGAAUUUUUCUGAUGAUUUGCAAUAGAUGAACAAUGACUGUUGGCGUUAUUUGCUGAUGAUUAAAAUUGACUAGAAACAAACAGAAUGUAUCUGCAGUUUUAAUAAAUAAUAAUUGUUUUAAUAAAAAAUAAAGAUUUGCAAAUAUAAUUACAAUGAUAGUGGUAUACAUUCUGGUUUAUUGGAAUGACUGUGUGACUCGUGUAGGGAGUUUUUUAAGAUUACCAACUUAAUGGUUGAUGAUGAUAUUUCCUUCCAUUAUUAUGAUUAAAAUAUUGUGAGAAAUUAGAUUUUUUAUCUGAAGAGCAAAAAUCAUAAAAAUCUUACAAUGUCCUAAAGUAUAAAUAUAAUAAUAUAAUAUUAUAAAAUUUAAUGUUUUUUUAUUGCACUCAAUGAAUCAAGAUAUUGUAUCAAGAAAGAGUUGCUUAAAGAAGCAGUCUUAACAACGAUUUAAAGGGUCUUUAUUCGGAAACAUCACGGCUGUUUCCGAAUAAAGACCCUUUAAAUCGUUGUUAAGACUGUUUCUUUAAGACAUAGGCUUUUAAUUCGGACAUAGGCUUUAAUUUAAGACAUAGGCUUUUAAUUCGGAGACAGCCGUGAAUACAUGAUCACAGAAUUAUUUAGAAAGUUGCUCAAUAAAAAUGUAAUUGUAAUUUAUUUGAAAUAAAUAAGCAUAUAAAAUUA